rnacentral:rRNA from 1 species
GAUGAACGCUGGCGGCGUGCCUAAUACAUGCAAGUCGAGCGAACGGACGAGAAGCUUGCUUCUCUGAUGUUAGCGGCGGACGGGUGAGUAACACGUGGAUAACCUACCUAUAAGACUGGGAUAACUUCGGGAAACCGGAGCUAAUACCGGAUAAUAUUUUGAACCGCAUGGUUCAAAAGUGAAAGACGGUCUUGCUGUCACUUAUAGAUGGAUCCGCGCUGCAUUAGCUAGUUGGUAAGGUAACGGCUUACCAAGGCAACGAUGCAUAGCCGACCUGAGAGGGUGAUCGGCCACACUGGAACUGAGACACGGUCCAGACUCCUACGGGAGGCAGCAGUAGGGAAUCUUCCGCAAUGGGCGAAAGCCUGACGGAGCAACGCCGCGUGAGUGAUGAAGGUCUUCGGAUCGUAAAACUCUGUUAUUAGGGAAGAACAUAUGUGUAAGUAACUGUGCACAUCUUGACGGUACCUAAUCAGAAAGCCACGGCUAACUACGUGCCAGCAGCCGCGGUAAUACGUAGGUGGCAAGCGUUAUCCGGAAUUAUUGGGCGUAAAGCGCGCGUAGGCGGUCUUUUAAGUCUGAUGUGAAAGCCCACGGCUCAACCGUGGAGGGUCAUUGGAAACUGGAAAACUUGAGUGCAGAAGAGGAAAGUGGAAUUCCAUGUGUAGCGGUGAAAUGCGCAGAGAUAUGGAGGAACACCAGUGGCGAAGGCGACUUUCUGGUCUGUAACUGACGCUGAUGUGCGAAAGCGUGGGGAUCAAACAGGAUUAGAUACCCUGGUAGUCCACGCCGUAAACGAUGAGUGCUAAGUGUUAGGGGGUUUCCGCCCCUUAGUGCUGCAGCUAACGCAUUAAGCACUCCGCCUGGGGAGUACGACCGCAAGGUUGAAACUCAAAGGAAUUGACGGGGACCCGCACAAGCGGUGGAGCAUGUGGUUUAAUUCGAAGCAACGCGAAGAACCUUACCAAAUCUUGACAUCCUUUGACAACUCUAGAGAUAGAGCCUUCCCCUUCGGGGGACAAAGUGACAGGUGGUGCAUGGUUGUCGUCAGCUCGUGUCGUGAGAUGUUGGGUUAAGUCCCGCAACGAGCGCAACCCUUAAGCUUAGUUGCCAUCAUUAAGUUGGGCACUCUAAGUUGACUGCCGGUGACAAACCGGAGGAAGGUGGGGAUGACGUCAAAUCAUCAUGCCCCUUAUGAUUUGGGCUACACACGUGCUACAAUGGACAAUACAAAGGGCAGCGAAACCGCGAGGUCAAGCAAAUCCCAUAAAGUUGUUCUCAGUUCGGAUUGUAGUCUGCAACUCGACUACAUGAAGCUGGAAUCGCUAGUAAUCGUAGAUCAGCAUGCUACGGUGAAUACGUUCCCGGGUCU